UCUUCCAACGUUUAACCAAAAAACAAUCCCUAAUUCUUUUUACGAGAGAAAUGAAAGCAGUAAGAAGAAUUGCUCAUCAGGAGAAAUGGAAUAUCUAAUGAUGGAGAGCUUAGCCAUGAAUAUGAUCGACAUUUCAUUUUGAAGAUUUAUAUAUAUUUCUUGUAUGUAAAGAACAAGCCUUUAUUUUCUCUUACCUAAUUCAAUGAGAAAUACAGCAAUAGUUUCACUUGUUAAGAUCAGAGGCUCACUGUACUUUGGCACUUCAUAAAUUACUUUUAAAAAAUUAUAUUUGUACUCA